rnacentral:lncRNA from 10 species
CCACCCACGCAUCCACCCAUCCAUGCAUCCAUCCAUCCCCUUGCUACACCAUGCAAUCAAUACUCAUUUACUAAUAUGGGACUGUGGGGAAUAUAAAACUGAGUACUAAAUAUAUCUGGGCAGCAUCUAACAGUACUCGUUCUGAUAACUAAUAUUUAUUGAACAGUACCAGAAAUAUAUUUUAAAAAAUGUUGAGUAGGGCCCAGAUCUGCUUUCAAGAAGAAGCUGCCCAGAUCUGCUGAGCAAGAACAGUGCUUCCGGGAACACCUGAGCUAAGGGCUCUCUGGCAGUUUCUUGUCCAGGGAAACCUUCAUAGAAAUGACAUUACGCUUGAGCCAUGGAUGAUGAUAAGGAUUCUGCCAGGUGGGAAGUGUUCAAGGCUUCCUGGGCAGAGGAGGUAGAGGGGUGGCGAGGCAUGGGGCAUGGGAACCGGUGGCAUCUGGCUGCAAAGUGGGGCCCGAGGGAUUGUGAUUGCAGGGUUCCUGUGGGGUUGGCCAGAUCUGGCCUUGGAAGAAAGGUCUGGCGAGACUUUGCAUGGCUUCCUAUGGAGUAAGAAAAGAAGAGCCCAGAAGGGCCGGGUGUGUGUCUGCUCAUGUGUGUGUAAGUUUGCGUGUUUGUGUGUGUGUUUGUGUGUGUGAGUUUGUGAGUUUGUGUAAAUGUGUUUGUGUGAGUUUGUGUUUGAGUCUGAGUCUGUGUAUUUGUGUGUCUGUGUGAGUUUGUGUGUGUGAGUCUGUGUGUCUGUGUGUGUGUCUGUCUGUGUGUGAGUUUGCGUGUCUGUGUGAGUCUGUGUAUGUGUUUGUGUUUGUCCGUGUGUGUGUGAGUCUGUGUUUUUAUGUGUGUGAGAGUGUGUGUGUGUACAUGUGUGCUUAGAGAGCCAUUGGCAUGGUCAGCAUGUGGUUAGAGGCUGCCCUUCUGGGAAGUUCUGAUUUUCUGGCUCCUCACCCCCGAUUCUGUGGCUACAUCCAGGUAUUAAACUCCGAUGGCUUUUCACAUCCUUUGCCCCUGGGUCACACGAGAUUUCCCAAGGGGGUGUAGUGGGGAUUGAAUAGGAGACAGCGGAGGGUGAGAGAAGGAAGGGGAAAGGAAGCAGCAGCAGUGGGCAGGCUUAUCACUGCCCUGGGGUUUGAAGCCGGUUACCAGCACUCAUUUUCCAAAACCAGCCUGCCCAGAUGGCUGUCUGCCCACCUCAGCGGAAAAAGGCGUUGUGGCAUCAGUUCCUGCAGCGGCGCUACUGGGUAAGGCUGGGCGAGGGGCGGGCCACCAGAUGUGCUUCCUGCCAGCUAGAGCUCUCGGCUAAAACCCUCCUCUCCACUCUGCUCUUCACCCCAUGGAGUCCAGAAAGUUCUGCAUGUGAACGUGAGGGACACUGAGGACCAGUCCUGGGUAGCCAAGGAGGUCCAGCACUCGCAAUUCCCUGGUGGCAGAAGGAAAUCCAGCAGGCAUCCUAAGAAAAGAGAAGUUGCAAGUGCCCUUCUGCAAAGUGACCCGCCCCUGGUGGUGCCAGCCUCUCUCUGGUUAACCUGAGCCCGGGGGAGUGAAGAAGCCAAUCAGAAGACAGAGAGCUUGCUCGGAGGUGAUCCCUUAACCAAAAUCGGGGUAAGUGCCCAGGUGCCACCCCAUUCCAGGUGCCAGAGCUGGAACAUGCAGUUCCGGAGGCCAUGGUUGUGUGGUGCCUACCUUGCGUUCCAGGUCCCUUCUAUAUGGGGCCUCAGGCAGUGGAGGAAUGUACCCUGCCUGGGGGGCAUUUCACCUAUUUGCCCCACACCCUGGGCCUGUGUCCUUCUGUCCUGCACGGAACCUGUGUCCUUCCCCCACCCCUCCCCUACAUAAUGAGUCUCUUCUAUCACACAAUAACUCCUUGGUGGAAAUAAGCACACAGCCUGGGGUACACUGGGCAGGAGGAUGACGCAUGGGGGUCUCCUUCCCUCCUUCUGAAGCCCCAUGGCGAUCCUGUCCCACUCCUUAAACUAUCUGUAUCUCCACACUCUCCCUGUACUCCAUGAAGUCCCCUGAAGGGCAAAAGACAACUCUACUUGCUUUUCUAGAGGACAUGGGCCUUGGCAGGGACCUGGGUACAGCUCCUGCCAAAAGCACCGUGGGCAUCAGCCCCAGGUAAGGGAGCACUCAUGGACCAGCCCCAGGUAAGGGAGGACUCAUGGACCAAUCCAGGGAUAAAACGGAACACGAGUUUUAUAUCCUGGUGGGCGGGGGGGGGAAGGGGGCAGGUGUCAGCAGCGAUGGAAAUGUGAGGACACCAGGCCUGGAGCUUCAGUGACUUGGCCAAAGUCCCACGGCUGCCCUCGGUGUGCACUCAGGCUCUGGAACAUCAUGGCUCAUCACGUUUAACCUCCUGUUUCCAUCUGGGUGAUGAAAAGCUAAGGGGAGUUAACGCGCCGCUGCAGCUCAUUGUCAAAGCCAGCUUCAGGCAGAGAACGAAGGAGGGAGCGACUUCGGGGCUGGGUUAAUGUUUUCCCGCAGGCAAGUGGUAGCAGAUGUCAAGGGUUAAGGACAAUUUAGGAGGCUGCACUUGUGUCGGGUGCCUCGGGCGAUGAGCCCAGGAGCCCGCUCUCCACGCAGUGACGCUUCCCAAGCUGGUGCUUUAGACCCCUCACUUGCCUGGCUGCUCUGAGGCCCCGUCCCUGAUGGCUUCUGACAAUUUGGUGUCCUUUGUAAAGACGACCUCAGAUCCUAUCAGCUUCAGUUUCACAAAACCUGGAUCCCCUGCCUCUGUGGUAUGUCUGGACUGCCCUGGGCAGGCAGGGCCUGGCUCUGAGAUGAAGAUUUCUCAGCACUGAAGGACCGCCUGCCUUUGAGCUGUGAAACUAGUCUAUCCUCACAUAGACACCAGUAAACUGAGGCUUGAGAGGCUCAAGGACACCCCGGAGGCCACGAAGGGUAGAACUCACUCCCCUGCUUCCAUCCCUGUCUUGCAUUCACUGCUGUGGCUCGGAGAAGCAGAGGGGUCUUGCUUUGGAGUUGUGUGUGUGUGUGCAUAUGUACGUGUAAGGUGUGUACAUGUGUUGCACACGUGUUCAUUGCAUCUGUGCAUAUGUGCACAUGUAUAUGUGUGCGUGUGUGUGUAUAUGUGCAUGCGUGGACAUGUGUAUGUGUUUGCAUGUGUAUGUGUGCACACAUGCCUGUGUAUGCACAUGUGUGUAUAUGUGUGCAUUUGUGCAUAUGUGCAUGUGUGUUCAUGUGUGCAUGUGUAUGUGCGUGUGGUGGUGAUGAUGGUUGAACAGUCCUGCAGCCCUGGUCCCAUAUGGCCUAUUCCCAGCUUGGACUGGCUUCCUGGGGUGGACAUGGACAGGAAAAGAUGCCAGACUCAUAGAGAACCCCUUCUUCCUCCACACCAGAUUGGGCAGGGGGUGGGGAGGCUUUCACCUUAGCAAUAGGCAAUGGUUGAAAUAUCAUUUCCAGGGUGACAUGACAUGAUGUUUGGGAUUUACUUCGAAAGAACAGGGGUGGAGCGGGAGAUACAGAUGAAACAAGACUGGCUCAGUUGAUAAUUGUUGAAGCUGGCUGUUGGGUACCAGGGGUUCCACUAAACUAUUUUCUCUACUUCUGUGUAUGUUUGAAAUGUCCUGGAACAACAAUAAAACACUUAUGUCAUCUCCAGUGAUUCCCAAAUUAUUUCUUGUACAGAGGUGCUCUGCCACAAAAAUGAAAUAGUGACAAUAUCCAAUAUGAAUAUAAAUAUAAAAUGCAUAUAUCUAUGUGUAUGUAUAUGUAUGUAUAUGCAUUCAUUGGCAUAUUCCAAGAAAUCCUGCACAGAGCACCCCAGCUUUCCAAUGCACCCUUCCUGCUCCCCAACCUGGUCCUGCCCCUUUGUGGGGCACCAAGGCCUCAUGAUGUCCCCAGAGAAUCACAGGGUGCUAUGACAGCUUUUCAUACUCUGGGUUUCCACUCUGGCUGCUGUUCUUGAGCCACAGAUGGAACCAAUGGACAGCCCAAGGGUGCUCCCACCAGGUGACAACUCUGUCCAUUCUCAUCGCCCCAACCACAGGGAACCAGACUCAUAUUCCAGACACUCUCUCUCCCUUUCCUCCUCUGAUGUCACUGUCACCAUCUCCUCUCCAGUUAAAAUUGGCUACAAGGCUGUACCUGGUCCCUGUGGACAGCUUCCUGAUGAGCAAAGCAUUCUUCAUACUGCCUGGGAAGCCCCUGGGUCACCCUAGCUUGCCACGUUGUAGAGCUUGGGAAGCCUCUCAGCCUCUUAGAUGAUGUGGUCACUGGUGCUUUGGGCUCUGAUGCUUACUGUUGGCCCCCAGCAAGUCACUUCCUGUUUCAGGGACUCCCUUUCCUCAUCUGUCAAGUGGAUUAGUAUCUUACAGACGAAAAGCUAGUGGCCAGUGAGCACCAGGGACCAUAAUAGGGUUCGGUGCAACACAUGCAUUAACAGCCCCAAACUGGAAACAACUCAAUGCCCACAACAUGAGAAUGGCUAACUUGACUCUGGAAUGGUCACACCCGGGAUUCUGUAUAGCAAUGAACAUGAACAGGCUCACCAUCCUCAACCACAUGAAUGAAUCUGUUACUGGUUGAAUCAUGUGCGCUCCCAAUUCAUAUGUUAAAGUCCUAACCCUCGGUCCUGAGAAUGUGGCUAUAUGUGGAGACAGAGCCUUUAAAGGGGUGAUUAAGUUAAAAUGAGGUCAUAUGGGUGGGCCCUAAUCCAAAUUGACAGGUGUCCUUACAAGAAGAGAUUAGGACACAGACAUGCAUGGAGGGACGGCCACGUGAGGACACAGAGAAGACGGCCAUCGGCAAGCCAAGGAGAGAGCUCCCGGGAGGAGCCAACGCUGCUGACACUUUGGUCGUGGACUUCCAGCCUCCAGAGCUGUGAGAUAAUAAGCUUCUGUGGUGGAAGCCACCCAGUCUGUGCCACUUUGUUACGGCAGCCCAGGAAACUAACAUAGAAUCCCACAAACACUGCUGAGUGACAGAAGCAAGACACACAGAAACAAAAACAGUGAUUCUAUCUACAUCAAGCUGAAAAAACAGACAAGACAUGGUGGCGAAACCACAGAGAAGAGCAAGGAAGGAUUUCCAUCCAAGUCAGGACAGCAGGUAGCUCUUGAGGGUGGGGGUUGAAUCAGGAAGGAGCCCAAGUGGGGGAGUGAGGGGGCUCCUGGUGGUCUGGGAUGCUCUUUCUCUUGGCUGUCAUUACACAGGGAUUUGUUUAUUAUUACCCUAUAUGAUUUAGAAUUACACAUUCAUACUUCAUGCAAGCUUUAUAUGUGUUUUAUAUUUUACACCAAAAAAAUUAAGAAGGAAAGAAAGCCAAAUGACAGAGAAAGAGAGAAAACCCCUGAGGGUGAUGGCAGCUGUUUUGCUCAGUCAGUGGAUUUGAACUCAUGAGUGUCUAGACUGGCAUGGGCUCCCCUCAAUUACCACCCUCUUCUCUUACAUCACGGCACAGGCCACUUCCUAACAUAUGCUACCUGCAGCCUCUGGCUGAGAUGAUCUUGAAGGAUUCUUUGAGCUCCCCCUAAUCCUUGAUUCCAAAGAGGCUGGUGGUUAAGGGCUCAGGGUUCCCCCUUCCCUGGCCCCCACUGGCCUCGGUGUUCCUGCUGACUGGGCAGCAGGGCCAGUCUGGCGUGGGACCACCCCUGUCCACCCGGCUUCCUGUGCCCAGGUGGUUUCCAGCCGGGACAGGGAGGACUGUGUGGACAGCCCCCAUGUCAACUCCCGGGCAGGGCCUGAAUUGGGAGGGACACAAGCCCGGAAGCUGCUGGUUCUCCUGGCAGUCACCCCUUCCCCUCUCACUCCAGGGCCAGGCCUCUGGAGGCGCCUUCCCGGGAGGAGCAGGGCAAGGAAGGCAGGCAAAGCCACCAAGCCUACCUUUGUUGGUUUCACUCUCUCUGAUAAGAAAGGA